ACCAACCAAGAUGUCAUUCACAGAAUUUCUGAUCGCCUCGUCCAAGGAGCCCCUGGAAUUCGUUUUUUCCUUCAUGGAACUCCUAGACAAUGGUGUGAUCGUGACAGGAUUUGGAUCCGGAAGGAGAAAGAUGAGUUUUUUCGGCUUCUCAAAGAAGCAACUCGGAAGAAUAUGGGGAAAUUGUAUAUACGUGAAAGAUUGUAUUUUGGUAAUAAGCUCCCUGAUCUCCAGAUACACUUUGAAAUCAUCGAGCAUUUGGAUGUUAG
rnacentral:misc_RNA from 1 species